GGGGGUUAUAGUUUAAUCUCCUAGAAUAU
rnacentral:tRNA from 1 species